rnacentral:rRNA from 1 species
AUGAACGCUGGCGGCGUGCCUAAUACAUGCCAGUCGAGCGAACGGACGAGAAGCUUGCUUCUCUGAUGUUAGCGGCGGACGGGUGAGUAACACGUGGAUAACCUACCUAUAAGACUGGGAUAACUUCGGGAAACCGGAGCUAAUACCGGAUAAUAUUUUGAACCGCAUGGUUCAAAAGUGAAAGACGGUCUUGCUGUCACUUAUAGAUGGAUCCGCGCUGCAUUAGCUAGUUGGUAAGGUAACGGCUUACCAAGGCAACGAUGCAUAGCCGACCUGAGAGGGUGAUCGGCCACACUGGAACUGAGACACGGUCCAGACUCCUACGGGAGGCAGCAGUAGGGAAUCUUCCGCAAUGGGCGAAAGCCUGACGGAGCAACGCCGCGUGAGUGAUGAAGGUCUUCGGAUCGUAAAACUCUGUUAUUAGGGAAGAACAUAUGUGUAAGUAACUGUGCACAUCUUGACGGUACCUAAGCAGAAAGCCACGGCUAACUACGU